AUACUUACCUGGACGGGGUAGAUCGGCGAUCAUGAAGGCCAAUGGCCUAGAUCAGUGGCCCACAUUGCACUUGGUGGGUGCGCUGGUUUACCAUCUCCUCAAGUAGGAGAGUGGACGUCGUAAUUUGUGAUAGAGGGGUACGCGUUCGCGCGGCCCUGC